CCGCUCGGGCCUGCGGGAGGGAUGCAGCGGGCACGGCGCUGCCGCCCGGCCCCCGGGGAGGCCGCGUGUGUGUUUAGGAGGUGCCGUUUCCCACAGCUCUGAUCUAAUUCAGCUGUAAUUCAAUCUCCGUGUGACCAACGCUCCGCCAGCGCUCUCCCACCCGCCGGCAGGCUCCUCUCUCACAGGCUGUGUGUGUGUGUUACACAUUUACGCUGUCAAUCUGGCGGGCUCCCCUCAAACAACCCCUCUGUGCCGCUUUGCCGCGUCAAUCAGCCGUGCCGCGGGGGCCGGCGCCCGCCGCCCCUCCCCGCGCAGCGCGGUUACCCUAUACCUGCCACUCAGGCCUGCCAAAGGGCUGCUGCUGAAUGGCGUUUGUGUGCGGCCACAAAGGGCGAAGGCAGCUGAGGCAGAUAAGGCUGAGAACCUGGGGCAGAUGUAAAAGAGAUCAGACCUGGCUUUCGGCGGAUGCUCGGCUCCUGCGAAGAUUUAUGACCCCUUUUAACCCCCGUUUGAAAUACGUUAAACUAAAAAUAGGACGGAACGAGGCUGCCUGGCUCUGGCGUAGAAAUUCACCCGGAGGGCUGGGCAGACCCCCCGGCUGCGCUCCGUUCCCCGUCGCCACGCCACGCCGUGCUGCCCGUCAUCCGGGCGCUCCUCUCGUCUCGUUAUAACCCACAUCCUCCAACCCUCGCCGGACGCCAGCUGACCCCUCACCCCUCAGCUCCCAGCGCAGGGCCGGCAGCUCCCAACACGAGGCCAGCAGCUCGCAGGGCGAGCAGUGCUGGGGAUGGGAGCUCAAACACAACAAUGCUCCGGCCUUGGAAGUGCCGGGCUGUCAUUGUCACCCCAGACACAAUUAUGGGAGCCUCGCUCGGGAUCAGUUUCUUUUGGCAGACGGCUUUGAACUCUGCUUUUCGCUUCCUGCUUCUCCAUUAAUUAUACGUUUCUGCUCCUUCCCACUGACAGACGAAUCCGCCGGGGGCGAGAGGAACCGAGGUGACAAAUUCUGCUCGGUUAGCACCGCUGAGCCGCCGCGGGCUCACACUGCGCUCCCCCAUCUGACACCACAGGGCUGGAACCGAGAGGGGAACAUUGCCUGGCAGCACGGCCGGUGCUUGGCACACAGAGCGCAAACCGGCCUCACUGACAGGAGCUCUGGCAAAGUACUGCCGUGUGCCCCGCAGAGAACAGCAAAGCUGUCCUGCUCGUUGCUGCCGCAGAACUGCCCUGCCCUUUGGGAUCUACACAGGGGAGAUCGAGGCUGGAGGUUAAAGAGGAGAGACUUCCAACAGUGGAACAAAGAGUGGUCAGCUUGUGGCUGUGCCUCCACACUCCCACACAGGCACCUGUGUCCCAG
rnacentral:lncRNA from 1 species